GACGAACGCUGGCGGCGUGCCUAACACAUGCAAGUCGAACGCAGAUGCGAACGGGUGAGUAACGCGUAGGUAACUGCCCCAUAGCGGGGGUUAACUAUUGGAUACGAUAGGUAAUACCGCAUACUGUGGGAUGGAUUUGCGUGGUAUUAGCUGGUUGGUGAGGUAAAGGCGCACCAAGGCGACGAUAGAUAGCCGACCUGAGAGGGUGAUCGGCCACACUGGGACUGAGAUACGGCCCAGACUCCUACGGGAGGCAGCAGUGGGGAAUCUUCGGCAAUGGACGGAAGUCUGACCGAGCAACGCCGCGGGAGUGAAGAAGGUUUUCGGAUCGUAAAGCUCUGUUGUUAGAGAAGCGGUACCUAACAAGAAAGGGCGGGCUAACUACGUGCCAGCAGCGGCGGUAAUU
rnacentral:rRNA from 1 species